UCUCUAGGGAGCUCAUUCACAGCUGGGGAACACACACACACACACACACACACACACACACACACACACACACAUAUAUAUAUAUAUAUAUAUAUAUAUAUUGCACAAGCAUCCUUUUAUCCUGUUGACACUAGGUGGUGCUUUUGUUCUAAUUAGUUAUGUGCUGAUGUAUUUUUACAGCUGCAGAAAGAGAAAGAGAGAGAGAGGUACAUCCCCACAUAAUUUUAUGUUGUCACCCAUGGGGCAUUUGACAAACACGACUAUGUUGAUAUAUGCUCCAAAGAUUUUGUCUUGUUCUUGGAAAACUUAACUCAGGACAAUUAUUACCAUGCAUAGGACAUCAAAGUUCUUUAAUACGGUAGGUAUCACUUUGUCCAUCCCCUUUGCUCCUACCUGUCUCCCUCCCCUCCUCUCUCAGGGAAAACAAUUUACACAGCCUUCACCCUCCUGAGCUGACAAAGCUUCACUCACAACUUACAGCAAAGAGGUGAGCUGAGCUGAGAGCUUUUCUCUCACAGCUGCCUGUCUUCGAGAUUGGCUCGAUUUAAUAUCACAAAUAUAAACCACUCACUACAUCUGCAGAGGAUUGGACAUAAUCCCACAGGGCUCUCUCCAACUGCCUCUCUGUCUUUUUAAGAUACACAAGCACGCACGCACACAAACUCACACACACACACACACGCUGAGGAACAAUACUAUAGGAGUCAAGUUUUACUGGUACAGUAAAUUAGGCAUAGGCAGAAUGUAGAUAUGGAUCUAUUGAUGGUUUGAAGUAGAUCAGCAAGGAUUUCUGACUCCAAAUGUUUUAACAAUAGCAGUAACAAAAUGGCACCCACAUACCCUAAUUCAGGGGUGCAGAACUUCUUCCAGCCCAACAGCCAAAUUGCAUUUUGGAGAAGCUCUUGGAGGCCACAUUCUAAAUGAUGGGUUGAAGGCAAAAGAGGGCAAUGCCAACAAUACUAAAACGUGAGCACAUUUUAGCUUAAAACUCACACUGCCAGUGACUAAGCCCUAAGAGAAGCAUUUUCCAGGGCAUGGUCUGAAGGCACACAUGAGUCAGUCACUUUGCUGAAGCUAAGUAGGUCUGGGUCUUGUCAAUGCUUGAAGGGGAGACCACCUGGGAACCACAUGCAGUCACUUUGAGUUCUGUGGUGGAAGAAAGGUGGAAUAUAAGAAAUAUUUUUUGACCUUUUAGAAGGCAGGAAACCACCAAAGGUUGAUGGUUGGAGGAAGGGUAUGGGCCCUUCUGGGAAGCCCCGGAAAGCCAGAUUUGGAGCCCUGAAGGUUCUGAACCCCUGCCCUAAAUUAUCCUACUGAAAGCUUGGGGUAACCAGGAGAGGAUUUUUGUGAGGAAGGGCUGUGAGCUCUAUUGCAUUCUAGUGAUGUCAGGGAGAGUUUCAGCAUUGCUAAGAUUAGCUAAGAUGAGCUUUCGGUGUUCUCAGAGCAGAGCCAGUGGGAGUCACCUCAUUCUCCAUCCACCUGCUGGCUUCCACCUUGGAAACAAGAAGCUCUCUAUAAGAAUACCGACAGAAAUAAGCUCACACAGAUUCUGAUAUUGCAAAGGCUGAAUAGGCCCAAACCCUUCCAGACUAAGAGGAUCAUCAGACAAGCGCUUUAUAGCAUGCUUGUUACACAGUUCCUUUUCCUGACGCUGUCCACCUUCCACAUGCCUCCUGCUCCUUCGGUCAUUUUCCCAUUACAAAAAACAAAAAACAAAAAAAAGCUCCUGGAAAAUCCGAUUUUUCCACCUACAGUGAAAUCUGCUACCAUUUUCUGCUGUGUGCAGGGAAAGCAGCAUGAUAAAAAUACCUUCUUCAAUGGGCUACGUAGACUUUGUUUACGUCCUCUUUUUUCAGUGUGUGAAGGAAGAGGAAGCUGCUCAUCCCUAUUGUGGGACAGGAGGGAAACAUGAUUCUCUUCCUCAUCUCAAGAAGCUCUAUUUCUAAUUAAAUGUCAGCUAAUAAUUAGAAGGCCCCAUGGCUGUGCCAAAUCUAUCCUUGACAAGUACUCAAAACACAUCCCUUGGCCCAGAAUUCUUAAAAUCUAAGUGAAUGUCUUUUGCCUCAAGCUCUGGUAGGUCUCAGGGUAUUAGUAAAAAACCAACAACCAAGUAUAUUCCACCCUUGCUGUAACUGAUUCCCUGAAAUAGUCAGUCCUGGUAAUUUCUAGGUGGUUCAUAUCCACUAUAUGCCUCAUGGACAGAAAAGAGAUAUUUAAAGGAGAGGCCAUAGCUCAGUUGUAGAGCACAUAGUUUCCACGCAGAAGGUCCCAGGUUCAAUCUUCAGCAUUUCCAGGUAGGGCUAGGAAAGAAUCCUACCCGAAAUCCUGGAGAGCCACUGCCAGUCAGUGUCAACAAUACUGGGCUAUUGGUUUGCUUAGUAUAAGGCAGCUUUCUACAUCCCUUUGUGGUCUUUUGUAAGCUGAAUGAAUUCUGGAAACCUCUCCAGUGAACGCACAAACAUGAUGCAGAUAUCUUUUGCUGAAACAAACUACUCCACUUCAAAAUGGGGUAAAUCAUACCUCAGAUGUUUUACUGAGGUAAAAUGUCUAUGAAUGCUGUUUGGGCGAUGGACAUUUUUCCAGGCAGAAAGGGUGUGUACCCAGAAGAGAUUCUAUAGUUGUUUUCUGUAUCUCUCACCUUGUCUCCCUUUGAAUUAUGUGCACGUGACACGUGUUUUUGUGGGGUUAGCCAUAUUUUUUUUAUUGACAAUGUCCCAGUAAUUGAAUUUACUUACAGAGUCUUAUGCAGAAAAAUCACAGCGGCCAUGACAAAAAUGGCAAUCUUCCAGUGACCAUGGUAUUUCUUGACAGUGUUCUGGAGCUUGACUCAACUCCUGAUUCAUUAUUAGAAACCAAGAUGGUGGCUGUCUAGGUCUAUUAAUUAUUUUUAAAAGAGGGCCUUGGGAUGGCAUUCAAGAUGGGCCAUGUUGGGACCUGAGGCAUGGCUCAAGAAUGCUACAUGGUAGCAUCGGGAUGAGAUCAAGACAGUUUCAGAUUGUUAUCCUUACAUCAGUAUUACUCAUCUACCAGGCUACCUGGAUUAGUUUACAUCAAAUACGUAAAGGAACUGCAGUAAACUAGUUUGGUUGGUUUGUUUAAUAUCCUAUACAAUGGCCUGGUUUGCAUGUCACAGUUGCAUUUCCUGGAUUGCUUAAACCAGGAAUUGUGGGGACAGACAGAGUGCAUGAGCUCUGCACUAAUCAUUUCUACUUUUAAUUAACCCAACAAUUACCCGUGGUUUGUUGUUGGUUAAACUCUGGGUUGUUUAACCUAUAAAUAACCCAGAGUUUCCAGGUUUCCAGGGGGGCAUUCCUGGGUUGUUGAUUAAAAGUGGAAACUAAAAGCUCAUGUGCUCCAUUCAUCCCCACAAUUAUUGAGUAGAAUAACCCAGGAAUUGCUGCCAUGAUGUGCAAGCCAGAUCUAUUAGUUUGAACUUUCAGAACAAUUCACCACAAACGCAAAAGUCACACACCAUAAUGCAUAUAAAUACUUUUUUUUUCCAAAUUAGCUGCAGCAGCAGCAGCACACAGAAUAAAAGCCAGUGAUGCAGGUUAAAAGUAAUACCAACUUUAGUCCACUCAAAACUGAAAUAGAAUGUACAUUUUCCAAAUUGUAUAGAUUGUCUCUUGAGAAACAUUAUUAUGAUGCUUGUCUGCUCGGGUAUUUUUGGUGAAGGUUUUUUUUAAAAAACUCCACAAAUCCUUUCUGUACUGCUUGCACAGUUCUAUUCAGUUAUCAAUUGCCCUUAAACAAGAAAACAGUGUUACAUAGAAAAUAUGGAUGGAUUGACGCUUCAGGUUUUUAUGGUCUGGUUUUCUGAUUAUUCUGUUCCAUUUCCACAGAGACAGUAUUUUUUUAAAAAGAAAAUCUUUCCACAGACUUCUGAUUCUUAUCUGUGGUUACAGGUUUACUCAGCCAUGUUUACUUAAUAGAGUCUGAAGCAAACUUCUACCCAAAGGCAUGAUGGGCACGACAUCCCUCUUCCCUUCCAGGAUAUCAUGCUUCUAUUUAGAUGCCCAGAGAUGAUCCCGGAGUAGAGGGCAAUUGCGACCUGAUCCCAUCCAACUAUGGGAUCUGCAUCUAACGGUUCAACAUCUAAGGUCCUCCUCCGGGUGCCUACUCCGAGAGAAGCUCGGAGUUUGACAACGAGGGAUAGGGCCUUUUCGGUGGUGGCCCCCAGGCUUUGGAAUGAUCUCCCUGAUGAUGCUCGCCUGGCAC